rnacentral:rRNA from 1 species
UCCAAGGCUAAAUACUCCUGACUGACCGAUAGUGAACCAGUACCGUGAGGGAAAGGCGAAAAGAACCCCUGUGAGGGGAGUGAAAUAGAUCCUGAAACCGCAUGCAUACAAGCAGUGGGAGCACCUUCGUGGUGUGACUGCGUACCUUUUGUAUAAUGGGUCAGCGACUUAUAUUCAGUAGCAAGGUUAACCGUAUAGGGGAGCCGUAGAGAAAUCGAGUCUUAAUAGGGCGUUUAGUUGCUGGGUAUAGACCCGAAACCAGGCGAUCUAUCCAUGAGCAGGUUGAAGGUUGGGUAACACUAACUGGAGGACCGAACCCACUGUCGUUGAAAAGCCAGGGGAUGACUUGUGGAUAGGGGUGAAAGGCUAAUCAAGCCUGGUGAUAGCUGGUUCUCCCCGAAAGCUAUUUAGGUAGCGCCUCGGACGAAUACCAUAGGGGGUAGAGCACUGUUUCGGCUAGGGGGUCAUCCCGACUUACCAAACCGAUGCAAACUCCGAAUACCUAUGAGUACUAUCCGGGAGACAGACUGCGGGUGCUAACGUCCGUAGUCAAGAGGAAAACAAUCCAGACCGCCAGCUAAGGCCCCAAAAUCAUAGUUAAGUGGGAAACGAUGUGGGAAGGCAUAGACAGCUAGGAGGUUGGCUUAGAAGCAGCCACCCUUUAAAGAAAGCGUAAUAGCUCACUAGUCGAGUCGGCCUGCGCGGAAGAUGUAACGGGGCUAAAA